rnacentral:rRNA from 1 species
CGACCGCUGGCGGCGUGCUUACCACAUGCAAGUCGAACGGAAAGGCCCUGCUUUUGUGGGGUGCUCGAGUGGCGAACGGGUGAGUAACACGUGAGUAACCUGCCCUUGACUUUGGGAUAACUUCAGGAAACUGGGGCUAAUACCGGAUAGGAGCUCCUGCUGCAUGGUGGGGGUUGGAAAGUUUCGGCGGUUGGGGAUGGACUCGCGGCUUAUCAGCUUGUUGGUGGGGUAGUGGCUUACCAAGGCGUUGACGGGUAGCCGGCCUGAGAGGGUGACCGGCCACAUUGGGACUGAGAUACGGCCCAGACUCCUACGGGAGGCAGCAGUGGGGAAUAUUGCACAAUGGGCGGAAGCCUGAUGCAGCAACGCCGCGUGCGGGAUGACGGCCUUCGGGUUGUAAACCGCUUUCGCCUGUGACGAAGCGUGAGUGACGGUAAUGGGUAAAGAAGCACCGGCUAACUACGUG